UUAAAUUGAAGAGUUUGAUCAUGGCUCAGAUUGAACGCUGGCGGCAGGCCUAACACAUGCAAGUCGAGCGGUAGCACAGAGAGCUUGCUCUCGGGUGACGAGCGGCGGACGGGUGAGUAAUGUCUGGGAAACUGCCUGAUGGAGGGGGAUAACUACUGGAAACGGUAGCUAAUACCGCAUAAUGUCGCAAGACCAAAGUGGGGGACCUUCGGGCCUCAUGCCAUCAGAUGUGCCCAGAUGGGAUUAGCUAGUAGGUGGGGUAACGGCUCACCUAGGCGACGAUCCCUAGCUGGUCUGAGAGGAUGACCAGCCACACUGGAACUGAGACACGGUCCAGACUCCUACGGGAGGCAGCAGUGGGGAAUAUUGCACAAUGGGCGCAAGCCUGAUGCAGCCAUGCCGCGUGUGUGAAGAAGGCCUUCGGGUUGUAAAGCACUUUCAGCGGGGAGGAAGGCGGUGAGGUUAAUAACCUCACCGAUUGACGUUACCCGCAGAAGAAGCACCGGCUAACUCCGUGCCAGCAGCCGCGGUAAUACGGAGGGUGCAAGCGUUAAUCGGAAUUACUGGGCGUAAAGCGCACGCAGGCGGUCUGUCAAGUCGGAUGUGAAAUCCCCGGGCUCAACCUGGGAACUGCAUUCGAAACUGGCAGGCUAGAGUCUUGUAGAGGGGGGUAGAAUUCCAGGUGUAGCGGUGAAAUGCGUAGAGAUCUGGAGGAAUACCGGUGGCGAAGGCGGCCCCCUGGACAAAGACUGACGCUCAGGUGCGAAAGCGUGGGGAGCAAACAGGAUUAGAUACCCUGGUAGUCCACGCCGUAAACGAUGUCGAUUUGGAGGUUGUGCCCUUGAGGCGUGGCUUCCGGAGCUAACGCGUUAAAUCGACCGCCUGGGGAGUACGGCCGCAAGGUUAAAACUCAAAUGAAUUGACGGGGGCCCGCACAAGCGGUGGAGCAUGUGGUUUAAUUCGAUGCAACGCGAAGAACCUUACCUGGUCUUGACAUCCACAGAACUUUCCAGAGAUGGAUUGGUGCCUUCGGGAACUGUGAGACAGGUGCUGCAUGGCUGUCGUCAGCUCGUGUUGUGAAAUGUUGGGUUAAGUCCCGCAACGAGCGCAACCCUUAUCCUUUGUUGCCAGCGGUUAGGCCGGGAACUCAAAGGAGACUGCCAGUGAUAAACUGGAGGAAGGUGGGGAUGACGUCAAGUCAUCAUGGCCCUUACGACCAGGGCUACACACGUGCUACAAUGGCAUAUACAAAGAGAAGCGACCUCGCGAGAGCAAGCGGACCUCAUAAAGUAUGUCGUAGUCCGGAUUGGAGUCUGCAACUCGACUCCAUGAAGUCGGAAUCGCUAGUAAUCGUAGAUCAGAAUGCUACGGUGAAUACGUUCCCGGGCCUUGUACACACCGCCCGUCACACCAUGGGAGUGGGUUGCAAAAGAAGUAGGUAGCUUAACCUUCGGGAGGGCGCUUACCACUUUGUGAUUCAUGACUGGGGUGAAGUCGUAACAAGGUAACCG
rnacentral:rRNA from 1 species